UACGUAGGGAGCAAGCGUUGUUCGGAUUUACUGGGCGUAAAGGGCGCGUAGGCGGCAUGACAAGUCACUUGUGAAAUCUCUGGGCUUAACCCAGAACGGCCAAGUGAUACUGUCGCGCUAGAGUGCGGAAGGGGCAAUCGGAAUUCUCGGUGUAGCGGUGAAAUGCGUAGAUAUCGAGAGGAACACCUGAGGUGAAGACGGGUUGCUGGGCCGACACUGACGCUGAGUGCGCGAAAGCCAGGGGAGCAAACGGG
rnacentral:rRNA from 1 species